UAAUGGCAUAGUUGUAGAUACGUUGAAGUGGUAAGGGUAAAAUUAGAAGGAAUCAAAAGUUAAUGGCAUAACGGUAGAUAUGUUAAAGUGUUAAGGGGCAAAAUGGAAAUUUAAUAAUAUUAAACAAAGGGUGAAUAGUGUUUUGAUGUGAUUUAAUUAGGGGAUUUGCUGUGGCUUUUGGAUGGAAACCGAGAGAGAGUCACAGAGGGAGUCUCAGACGGACAGAGAGGAAGAAAAAGAAGGAGAGGAAAGGAAAGGAAGAAAGGAAGAGGAAGGAAAAGGAAGAAAGGAAGAGGAAGGAGAUCCCGGUUGCGCUGCCAGCUGAAGGGAAAAGUGUAGAUCUCCUUCCCCUCUACGCAAGGACCUCGAUUUUCAAAAAGAAAAAGGUAAAUAUCCGUCCCUAUCUAGUCUUUUGAUGAUAUUAGGCUAUACAAAGGGUGGAUAUAGUCUAGAGGGAUCGGAUAAGGGUUGUAG
rnacentral:lncRNA from 1 species